UACGUAGGGUGCAAGCGUUAAUCGGAAUUACUGGGCGUAAAGCGUGCGCAGGCGGUUGUGCAAGACAGAUGUGAAAUCCCCGGGCUCAACCUGGGAACUGCAUUUGUGACUGCACGGCUAGAGUGUGUCAGAGGGGGGUAGAAUUCCACGUGUAGCAGUGAAAUGCGUAGAUAUGUGGAGGAAUACCGAUGGCGAAGGCAGCCCCCUGGGAUGACACUGACGCUCAUGGCACGAAAGCGUGGGGAGCAAACAGG
rnacentral:rRNA from 1 species